GUGAGAGUUCCUUUCCCUGAUAUUUUCCCUCCUUUCAUGUUUCCAAAGUAGACAUUCCCGUUAGCCCAUGUAUACUUACCUGGUCCUUCUGGUGUUCCCUGAAUCCACGAUCCUUCAAAAAUAUCUCCAUUUGGAUACAUUUGAUAUCCCAAACCAUGUUUAAGGUUCAACCGCCAGCGUCCCCUAUAGGUCACUUUAUCAGGUCCAAUAUAUGUCCCGUCGCCGUGCAUAUAACCACCUGAAAAUUCACCAUCAUAAACAGCACCUGGAUACAUUUGAUAUCCUAAACCAUGUUUAAGGUUCAACCGCCAGCGUCCCCUAUAGGUCACUUUAUCAGGUCCAAUAUAUGUCCCCUCACCGUGCAUAUAACCACCUGAAAAUUCACCAUCAUAAACAGCACCGGAAGGAAAUUCUAGUUUCCCAUGCCCAUGCCUCAUCCCGUCUCUCCACUCGCCCUCAUACUG
rnacentral:lncRNA from 1 species